UACGUAGGUGGCAGGCGUUGUCCGGAAUUAUUGGGCGUAAAGCGCGCGCAGGCGGUCCUUUAAGUCUGAUGUGAAAGCCCACGGCUCAACCGUGGAGGGUCAUUGGAAACUGGGGGACUUGAGUGCAGAAGAGGAAAGCGGAAUUCCACGUGUAGCGGUGAAAUGCGUAGAGAUGUGGAGGAACACCAGUGGCGAAGGCGGCUUUCUGGUCUGUAACUGACGCUGAGGCGCGAAAGCGUGGGGAGCAAACAGG
rnacentral:rRNA from 1 species